rnacentral:lncRNA from 1 species
GGGAGAAAUUAGAAAUGUAGUUUUUGUUUUGAAUCCCUUGAAAAACUACAGUGACAUAGGAUUUACAUUGCACCUCCUAACUCUUCCAUUGGCUGUCAACAAUCUUUAGGGACUGGUUUCAACCGUCAUCUGUUACCGGGCAGAAAAUUAUGGCUCAGUCAAUCACUGGCCAGUCUGAGGAGAGGUGUCUUAUGACUCGCAUGCACGUGACUUUGUUGUUUUUUUAUUUUUCUUCUGGGAUGAAUACCUAUUGCCCGGUUGUAAAAGUAUCGCAAUUUUACGUAAAAAAAUACCCUAAAGGAUUGAUUGUAAACAUCGUUUGAUGUGUUUCUACAAACGGAAAUGGAACUUUGAACAUUUCGAAUAUGGAUUUGCGUCCACACCACAUGGCAUUGUAAAGUGUUCUGGAUGGGUCAACAAAACGGACGUAUUUGGACAUAAAUGAUGGACUUUGCAGAACAAAUGAACAUUUCUUGUGGAAGUGGGUGCCCAUCCGAGUGCAUUCCGCCAAAGACCAGCAAAGCAUGGAUUCUACACUGAGAGUACAGCAUGGAUUCCACUCAGAGUACAGCAUGGAAUCCACUCUGAGAGAACAGCAUGGAUUCUACACUGAGAGUACAGCAUGGAUUCUACACUGAGAGUACAGCAUG